rnacentral:lncRNA from 1 species
AAUCUCACACGCUGGGGAGCCGCGGAACCCAUGCGCCGCGCCUGCUGAACCCGCGCGCCCCAGAGCCGGGCUCCGCAAGAGGGGCAGCCUGCGGUGAAGGAUAGCCCCGCUUUGGGGCAGCUUGAGAAAAGUCCUCGCAGCAACCAAGACCCAGCCCAGCCAAAAAUAAGUAACUAAAAAACAAGAGAUUUACUUCUUGGUGAAAAUGGGGAACGAGAUAAAACCAAUGAACUACACAGUCACCCCAUUACCAGGGAUCAAACCUCAUCACCCAUCUCAUCAGCAACUAGUGUACAGGAUAUACCGGGGAAGGGUGGUCAGUUCAACAGUAUCAGAGACACAUCAGAAUAUGCCGAAUUCAGAUGAACUAAUGGCAACAAACUGUACGAAACGAGAAUUUUACAAGGUAAGUGCACCCCAUGUGUGAAGAGAUCCGUGAGAGACAGCUAAUGAACGCUUUUGGAAUAUAUUUUGGAUUCUGAUUGCAACUAAUCUGAGUUAAGAAACAUUUUUGAAACAAUUCAGCAUUGAUAAAAUAUUUUUAUGAUUAUUGAGUUAUGAAAAUACCUUUUAGAAAAGUCAGUUCUGUAGAGAUGAUGCAUUAAGUGAUGCUGUAUGUGGAAUUAAUACUUGGCCCCCCUUAGCUGCAGCAGAUAACAUCCCAAGACCUCCAAGUGGAUGCCUGAAACCAAGCCCUACAUGUACUAUGUUUUCCCUUAUACAUGUGUACCUGUGAUAAAGAUUAAUUGUAACAAUAGCUGUAAUAAAAGUUAGUGAGGGGCUUCCCUGGUGGUCCAGUGGCUGGAACCCCUAGAUCCCAAUGCAGGGGCCCUGGGUUUGAUCUCUGGUCAGGAAACUAGAUCCCACAUGCCGCAACUAAGACGCAGCACAGCCAAAUAAAUAUGUAUUUGUUACGUGAAUGUGGUGUCUCAAAAUCUAUACUGUUGUACUCACCUCUUUUGUGAUGCUGUGAGAUGAUAGAAUGCCUGUGUGGAUUACUAGACAAAUGUAUAUUCGUGUGGGAGACAUGAAGAGGGUGGUGAAAGAUUGCUUAUGCAGAAAGGCUUGCAAUUUAAAACUCGUGAAUUGUUUCAUUUCUGGAAUUUUCCAUUUAAUAUUUUCAGACCUCUGUUGACCUUGGGUCUCUGAAACCCCUAAAAAGCAAGUUUGUGAAUAGGUAAGAAACUUGUGGAUAGGUAAGAAGCUGGUAAACACCAGCUAGACCGCUGGUGUAGAUGGGAUAGAUGAAAUGAGAAUGGCCAUGAAGGCCUCCCUGGAGGCUNNNNNNNNNNNNNNNNNNNNNNNNNNNNNNNNNNNNNNNNNNCGAGUCCUGAUCCAGAAGGAUCCCACGUGCCACAGAGUGAAUAAGCCCAUUAAAAAAAG